rnacentral:lncRNA from 1 species
AAUCCAUGUUUCUGUGAAGACAGAAGGUGAUCAAAGAAGAGUGUGAUCUGCUCCUUUGGUAGAAUGUUUGGUUUCUUUGGGAGGUCACGAGCCAGAUUGCCGCACAGUCUCUGGCAAUUACACAAGUCCACCAACUCAAUCAUUUGUGAGUCUUUUUUACCUUUCAGAAUGUUGGACAAUGAUGAAAACCUUUCCAAUGAUAUGCAAUCACUCGCCUCUAACUUUACUAUUUUUGGUGGAAGUUCCGGAAUAUCUUGAAGCCUCUUGCAGCCAUGCAAGUAAAGCUCCCGCAAAUUGACAAAUUUCAUAAUGCAUACGGGAAUACUUACAAGGAAAUCACUUCUUGUUAGAUCAAGUGCACUCAAUGUAGAC